GUCGUUUUGCCGUGCGUGACAUGAGGCAAACGGUGGCUGUUGGCGUCAUCAAGAACGUGGAGAAGAAGAGCGGCGGCGCCGGCAAGGUCACCAAGUCGGCGCAGAAGGCGCAGAAGGCGGGCAAGUGAAGCGCGGGCGCCCGCGGCGCGACCCUCCCCGGCGGCGCCGCGCUCCGAACCCCGGCCCGGCCCCCGCCCCGCCCCCGCCCCGCGCGCCGCUCCGGCGCCCCGCACCCCCGCCAGGCGCAUGUCUGCACCUCCGCUUGCCAGAGGCCCUCGGUCAGCGACUGGAUGCUCGCCAUCAAGGUCCAGUGGAAGUUCUUUAAGAGGAAAAGCGUCCCCGCCG
rnacentral:misc_RNA from 1 species